UUACGGCUCAGUAACACGUAGCUAAUCUAACCUUAGGUCAUGGAUAACCUCGCGAAAGUGAGGGUAAAACAUGAUAGAUGGUGUGCUUUGGAAUAACAUAUCUUCGAAACUCGUGCCUAAGGAUGAGGCUGCGGCUGAUUAGGUUGUUGGCGGAGUAAUGGCCCACCAAGCCUUUGAUCAGUAAGGGCUCUUAGCGGAGAGGCCCUGAGAGGGGAUCUGAGACACUAUCCCCAGCCCUACGGGGUGCAGCAGUCAAGGAAUUUUUACAAUGCGCGAAAGCGUGAUAAAGUAAGCCAGAGUGUUUUUCUUUUUUGAAAAACUUUUGUUUGCUGUAAAAAGGCAGGCGAAUAAGGACUGGGCAAGACUGGUGCCAGCCGCCGCGGUAAUCCCAGCAGUCCGAGUUGCAACCACAAUUAUUGGGUCUAAAACAUCCGUAGCUUGUUCUGUAAGUUUUCUGUGAAAUCCUAUCUCUUAAAGAUAGGAAGGGCAGAAAAUACUGCAGGGCUUGAGACUGGAAGACGUGAGGAGUACAUUUAAGGUAGUAGUAAAAUACGUUAAUCUUAAAUGGACUAACAAGAGCGAAGGCACCUUACGAGUACAGAUCUGACAGUGAGGGAUGAAGGCUAGGGGCGCGAAACGGAUUAGAUACCCGUGUAGUCCUAGCAGUAAACACUGCGCACUAAACAUCAUUAUCUCCUCGAGAGAUAUUGGUGCUGCAGCGAAGGCGAAGAGUGCGCUACCUGGGAAGUAUAGCUGCAAGGCCGAAACUUAAAGGAAUUGGCGGGGGAGCAC
rnacentral:rRNA from 1 species